UGGGGAAUUUUUCGCAAUGGGCGCAAGCCUGACGAAGCAACGCCGCGUGGAGGAUGAAGGCCCUCGUGGUUGUAAACUCCUGUCAAGUGGGACGAAGGCUCAUAGUUUGAAUAAGGCUAUGAGAUUGACGGUACCUGCAGGGGAAGCCCCGGCUAACUCUGUGCCAGCAGCCGCGGUAAGACAGAGGGGGCAAGCGUUGCUCGGAAUUACUGGGCGUAAAGGGCGCGUAGGCGGGAUGGCAAGUCGGUCGUGAAAUCCCUCGGCUCAACUGAGGAACGUCGAUCGAUACUGCCGUUCUUGAGGAUUGCAGAGGAGACUGGAAUUCCCGGUGUAGCGGUGAAAUGUGUAGAGAUCGGGAGGAACACCGGUGGCGAAGGCGGGUCUCUGGGCAAUUCCUGACGCUGAGGCGCGAAAGCGUGGGGAGCAA
rnacentral:rRNA from 1 species